rnacentral:lncRNA from 1 species
UUCUGUUCUUCACUGCCGAAUGUAUUCUUCACAUAUACAGGUACCAAGUGGAGAUUCUGAACCCGCGAAGCUGAGAACGAGACCCUAGAGGGUGGUUAACCCAAGAAGUCAUGCACCCACAAGGCUCUUCUCCUGGGGCCAAGGGUGCGUUGAGGAGUUGCGGCUGGUGCCUCCCUGCAUCCUGCCUCCUGUGGAAGGACCGGCUCUAUACAGCUAACUGGGACACGGGAGGCCCUCCUCCUGCGCAUCCUUGGGAGGCAGAGCAGAUGAGGACUCAGACUGUGGGAAGCCAUGGAUGUCACCCAGCCAUCGCUUUUCUCCGCGAGGUGAGCUGUGCCCCUUCUUUCUGCCCAAGUUGAUUGACAGCUGGUA